rnacentral:lncRNA from 1 species
ACCUACACCACAGCUCACGGCAACACCGGAUCGUUAACCCACUGAGCAAAGGCAGGGACCGAACCCGAAACCUCAUGGUUCCUAGUCGGAUUUGUUAAUCACUGCGCCACGACGGGAACUCUUUUUUUUUUUUUUUUUUAAAUCUUUUCGUUGGGCUGCACUUGCAGCAUAUGGAGGUUCCCAGGCGAGGGGUCAAAAAGGAGCCGUAGCCAAUGGCCUACCCCAGAGACACAGCAACAUCAGAUCUGAGCCACAGCUGCGACCUAUACCAUAGCUCAUGGCAACACCAGUUCCUUAACCCACUGAGUGAGGCCAGGGGUCAAACCCACAACCUCAUGGUUCCUAGUUGUUUCUGCUGCACCACAACGGGAACUCCUGGUUUAACUUUAAAGUCCUGUGAUAUCCAAUCUUCCUAGAAGCCACUGGAUGAGUGGGAAAGAUUUUUUUUUUUUGGCUAUAAUGCCUUUAAUGGAGGGUGGUACAAAAUGCAUCAAUGCAAAAGAAUGUUUUAUGUACUCAUUAGCAUAGUGAUUAAUGUAAAUUAGAGAUACACAAUGUGUUAAACCUUAAAAUCUACAAAGUUUCCUGCAACCUAAAAUAAUGUAAAAGAUUCCUUAAGUUUUUACCCACCACCUUUAAAGUUCUAAAUGGUAUCUGGGGGAACUGAAAAUGUAUGUGUAGUAUGUUAUUUAGAAGAAUUUACAAGUUUCUGUUGACUUUGUUGAUUGAGCAUGACUACUAAAAAUUAUGUAAUGAAAUUGAAUACAGAAACUUCCAUAAUUUAGCUCAUGCAAUGUUUUUUAACCCUCUUUAGAAAGGAGCUGCAUGUAGAAUGAGAUCACAUGCUUGCAAGAUAGCAAAUACCCUUUUUAUAUUUGAAAUGUUUGCUUUAGGAAUUAAUAGAAGGCAUAUUUUUCUAAUUUUAUGACUAAAUUUAGAAUGAACUGAAUGAUUAUUUUUAAGCCAUCGUAAAGUCUCCGAGUGGUAAAGUAGUGUUGCUUUCUAAGCUAUCACAGUUGACUUUAUUCUUCUACUCUGAAAAAAUCUUGACUUGUUUGAGUGUAUAUAAUAUAUAUAAAGGGAGCCUUAAUGGAUUUGUUUUCAUAAUUUAAUAUUUUUUGUAUUUGCUCUUGUAUAAUUGUUUUUAACGGAAAGUAUUACAGAAUUGAGGGUGGAAUUCUUAGAACCAAAGUUAUUCUUAAUAAAAAUCACCACAUGCUUGGAAAAAAAAAAAAAACAAAAAACAAAAAACUGCACUCUAGUGGAGGGCAGUUCCAACCAUUGCAAAGUUUCUGUACUUUUGGCCCAGAAGGGUCACUUGGGGAAUGGCGGGGGAG